rnacentral:rRNA from 1 species
UAGGCGUACGGGUGAGUAACACGUGGAUGAUCUGCCUUUUAGUGGGGAAUACCGCUGGGAAACCGGUGACAAUACCGCAUAAUCCCGAGAGGGGAAAGCAAUUAAAUGCGCUGAAAGAGGAGUCCGCGGUCGAUUAGUUAGUUGGCAGGGUAAGAGCCUACCAAGACUGUGAUCGAUAGCCGGCCUGAGAGGGCACACGGCCACACUGGCACUGAAACACGGGCCAG